rnacentral:rRNA from 1 species
GAAAGUAAAUAAGGGCGCAUGGCGGAUGCCUUGGCUCUCGGAGGCGAUGAAGGACGUGAUAAGCUGCGAUAAGCUUCGGGUAGGUGCAAAUGACCUUUGAUCCGAAGAUUUCCGAAUGGGACAACCCGGCAUUCUGAAGGAAUGUCAUCCAACUUUGUUGGAGGCUAACGCAGGGAACUGAAACAUCUUAGUACCUGCAGGAAAAGAAAAUAAAUAAUGAUUCCCCUAGUAGUGGCGAGCGAACGGGGAUUAGCCCAAACCACCCAUGUUACGGCAUGUGUGGGGUUGUAGGACCACGCUCUCGCAAGACAGUUAUUGAGAAGAAACGGCUGGAAAGUCGUGCCAUAGACGGUGAUAGCCCGGUAUUCUAAGGUAACCGAAGCGUAGUGGUAUCCUGAGUAGCGCGGAGCACGAGGAAUUCUGCGUGAAUCAGCCGGGACCAUCCGGUAAGGCUAAAUACUCCCGAGAGACCGAUAGCGAACCAGUACUGUGAAGGAAAGGUGAAAAGCACUUCGAAUAGAAGAGUGAAAUAGUCCCUGAAACCAUGCGCCUACAAGCGGUCGGAGCAGCUUAAGUUGUGACGGCGUGCCUUUUGCAUAAUGAACCUACGAGUUACUUUUUCCGGCAAGGUUAAGCAUCUUGAGAUGUGGAUCCGAAGCGAAAGCGAGUCUGAACAGGGCGGAUAGUCGGAAGGAGUAGACGCGAAACCAAGUGAUCUACCCUUGGGCAGGUUGAAGGUUAGGUAACACUAACUGGAGGACCGAACCGAUAAGCGUUGAAAAGCUUCCGGAUGACCUGAGGGUGGGGGUGAAAGGCUAAUCAAACUUGGAGAUAGCUCGUACUCCCCGAAAUGCAUUUAGGUGCAGCCUUGAGAGUUACUAAUGUGAGGUAGAGCGACUGAUAAGAUGCGAGGGCUUCACCGCCUAUCAAGUCUUGAUAAACUCCGAAUGCGCAUUAGUUCUAUCUCAGGAGUGAGGGCAUGGGUGCUAAGGUCCAUGUCCUAAAGGAGAAGAAUCCAGACCAUCAGCUAAGGUCCCCAAAUAAACACUAAGUUGAACUAACGAAGUCAGAUUGCUAAGACAGCUAGGAUGUUGGCUUGGAAGCAGCCAUUCAUUUAAAGAGUGCGUAACAGCUCACUAGUCGAGGAGUUUGGCGUGGAUAAUAAUCGGGCAUUAAGUGUUUUACCGAAGCUAUGGGAUACGUAAGUAUCGGUAGGGGAGCAUUCCACUCUGCGUUGAAGGCGAAGCGUGAGCUUUACUGGAGCGUGUGGAAAAGCAAAUGUAGGUAUAAGUAACGAUAAAGGGGGUGAGAAACCCCCUCGCCGCAAGACUAAGGUUUCCUGAUCAACGCUAAUCGGAUCAGGGUUAGUCGGGUCCUAAGGCUCAGCCGAACGGUGAGGCCGAUGGCAGAACAGGUUAAUAUUCCUGUACUACCUGUAGGAGUGAUGUGGAGACGGAGGAGUGACAACGCCGCGGACUGACGGAAUAGUCCGUUAAAGGGUGUAGAUGUUGAUUAUCCCAGGCAAAUCCGGGAUAAGAGUCGAACCUGACAGUAUACCAAUUUCCCCGGAAAACGGUAAUAGUGCGUGUAAACAUACUCCCAAGAAAAUCCGCUAAACUUAAUCUUACAGGUACCCGUACCGUAAACGGACACACGUAGUCGGGUUGAAUAUACUCAGGCGCUUGAGUGAAUCACGGUUAAGGAACUAGGCAAAUUGACCCUGUAACUUCGGGAUAAAGGGUCCCUACCCGGUGACGGGAGGGCGCAGAGAAUAGGUCCAGGCAACUGUUUAACAAAAACACAGGGCUGUGCAAAAUUGAAAGAUCACGUAUACAGCCUGACACCUGCCCGGUGCUGGAAGGUUAAGAGGAGAUGUCAUCGCAAGAGAAGCAUUGAAUUGAAGCCCCAGUAAACGGCGGCCGUAACUAUAACGGUCCUAAGGUAGCGAAAUUCCUUGUCGGGUAAGUUCCGACCUGCACGAAUGGUGUAAUGAUCUGGACACUGUCUCAACCGUGAGCUCAGUGAAAUUGUAGUAUCGGUGAAGAUGCCGAUUACCCGCGAUGGGACGAAAAGACCCCGUGAACCUUUACUAUAGCUUAACAUUGAAUUUGGGUAAUUGAUGUGUAGG